rnacentral:rRNA from 1 species
AGUGAACGCUGGCGGUAGGCCUAAUACAUGCAAGUCGAGCGAACGCACAGUAAGCGCUCGCCCCUACGGGUGGCGGGUGGCGGAUGGGUGAGGCAUACAUAGGAAUCUACUUUUUCGUGGGGGACAACGUAGGGCCACUUACGCUAAUACAGAAUACGACCUACGGCAGAAAGCAGGAGAUCUUCAGACUUUGCGCGAUUCAUUGAGACGGUGCCGGAUUAGCUAGUUGGGGGGGUAAAGGCCCACCAAGGCAACGAUGCGUAGCUGGUCUGAGAGGAUGAUCAGCCACACUGGAACUGAGACACGGUCCAGACUCCUACGGGAGGCAGCAGUAGGGAAUAUUGGACAAAGGGCGCAAGCCUGAUCCAGCCAUGCCGCGUGAGUGAUGAAGGCCUUCGGGUCGUAAAGCCCUGUUGUUGGGGAAGAAAAACAGCGUGUGAAUACCCCGCUGUUCUGACGGUACCCAAUGAGUAAGCACCGGCUAACUUCGUG